UAGGGAAUCUUCCACAAUGGACGAAAGUCUGAUGGAGCAACGCCGCGUGAGUGAUGAAGGGUUUCGGCUCGUAAAACUCUGUUGUUGGAGAAGAACGGGUGUCAGAGUAACUGUUGACAUCGUGACGGUAUCCAACCAGAAAGCCACGGCUAACUACGUGCCAGCAGCCGCGGUAAUACGUAGGUGGCAAGCGUUGUCCGGAUUUAUUGGGCGUAAAGCGAGCGCAGGCGGUUUUUUAGGUCUGAUGUGAAAGCCUUCGGCUUAACCGGAGAAGUGCAUCGGAAACCGGGAGACUUGAGUGCAGAAGAGGACAGUGGAACUCCAUGUGUAGCGGUGAAAUGCGUAGAUAUAUGGAAGAACACCAGUGGCGAAGGCGGCUGUCUGGUCUGCAACUGACGCUGAGGCUCGAAAGCAUGGGUAGCGAACAGGAUUAGAUACCCUGGUAGUCCAUGCCGUAAACGAUGAGUGCUAAGUGUUGGAGGGUUUCCGCCCUUCAGUGCUGCAGCUAACGCAUUAAGCACUCCGCCAUGGGGGAGUACGACCGCAAGGUUGAAAC
rnacentral:rRNA from 1 species